rnacentral:rRNA from 1 species
UACCAGCACCCCGAGUGGUCGGGACGUUUUAUUGGGCCUAAAGCAUCCGUAGCCGGUUCUGCAAGUCUUCCGUUAAAUCCACCUGCUUAACAGAUGGGCCGCGGAAGAUACUAUAGAGCUAGGAGGCGGGAGAGGCAAGCGGUACUCGAUGGGUAGGGGUAAAAUCCGUUGAUCCAUUGAAGACCACCAGUGGCGAAGGCGGCUUUCUGGUCUGUAACUGACGCUGAGGCGCGAAAGCGUGGGGAGCAAACAGG